ACAGCUCCAAACUAGAGGUAUACCGCUUUUGAAGAGUAACUCAAAGUAUAAAUAGCAUUUUGCAAACUGGAAGUAACCAUGUGACUAUCUAUUAGUCAUACUGUUGUUUAUUACAAUUUUCUUUUCGUCAAAAAAAAAAGCUUGCCAAGGAGGAAGGAAGUUUGUGAUAUAACAAUUUAAAGCUGAAGAAUAAACACAUAUUUUCUUAUCACCUUAAAAGCGAUAGAAUCAAAGAAAAAGCAAUGGUUUAAACUUUGGCUACUGAAAGAAAAACAAAAACUAUUAUCUCUCUC
rnacentral:lncRNA from 1 species